CAGCGCCACGGUAAUACGGAGGGUGCAAGCGUUACUCGGAAUCACUGGGCGUAAAGGACGCGUAGGCGGAUUAUCAAGUCUCUUGUGAAAUCUAACGGCUUAACCGUUAAACUGCUUGGGAAACUGAUAAUCUAGAGUAAGGGAGAGGCAGAUGGAAUUCUUGGUGUAGGGGUAAAAUCCGUAGAGAUCAAGAAGAAUACCCAUUGCGAAAGCGAUCUGCUGGAACUUAACUGACGCUAAUGCGUGAAAGCGUGGGGAGCAAACAGGAUUAGAUACCCCCGUAGUCCCUGUCUCUUAUACC
rnacentral:rRNA from 1 species